GUAUUAAUAGUAUAAAUUUAUUACCUUAGAUUUUCAUUCUAAACAUAUGGGUUGCCAUUUAAUACU
rnacentral:tRNA from 1 species